rnacentral:rRNA from 1 species
ACAGUGGACGCGAGCAUCUGUGGCCAAGUUUUUAAGGGCGCACGGUGGAUGCCUUGGCACCAGGAACCGAUGAAGGACGUGGGAGGCCACGAUAGGCCCCGGGGAGUCGUCAACCAGGCUUUGAUCCGGGGGUGUCCGAAUGGGGAAACCCGGCAGUCGUCAUGGGCUGUCACCCUUGCCUGAACACAUAGGGCAAGUGGAGGGAACGCGGGGAAGUGAAACAUCUCAGUACCCGCAGGAAGAGAAAACAACCGUGAUUCCGGGAGUAGUGGCGAGCGAAACCGGAUGAGGCCAAACCGUAUGCGUGUGAGACCCGGCAGGGGUUGCGUAUACGGGGUUGUGGGAUCUCUCUUUCACAGUCUGCCGGCUGUGAGGCGAGUCAGAAACCGUUGAUGUAGGCGAAGGACAUGCGAAAGGUCCGGCGUAGAGGGUAAGACCCCCGUAGCUGAAACAUUGACGGCUCGUUUGAGAGACACCCAAGUAGCACGGGGCCCGAGAAAUCCCGUGUGAAUCUGGCGGGACCACCCGCUAAGCCUAAAUAUUCCCUGGUGACCGAUAGCGGAUAGUACCGUGAGGGAAUGGUGAAAAGUACCGCGGGAGCGGAGUGAAAUAGUACCUGAAACCGUGUGCCUACAAGCCGUGGGAGCGUCGCGUUGAGUACUUGUACUCAACGUCGUGACUGCGUGCCUUUUGAAGAAUGAGCCUGCGAGUUUGCGGUGUGUUGCGAGGUUAACCCGGGUGGGGUAGCCGUAGCGAAAGCGAGUCCGAACAGGGCGUUUUAGUAGCACGCUCAAGACCCGAAGCGGAGUGAUCUAGCCAUGGGCAGGUUGAAGCGGAGGUAAGACUUCGUGGAGGACCGAACCCACCAGGGUUGAAAACCUGGGGGAUGACCUGUGGUUAGGGGUGAAAGGCCAAUCAAACUCCGUGAUAGCUGGUUCUCCCCGAAAUGCAUUUAGGUGCAGCGUCGUGUGUUUCUUGCCGGAGGUAGAGCACUGGAUAGGCGAUGGGCCCUACCGGGUUACUGACCUUAGCCAAACUCCGAAUGCCGGUAAGUGAGAGCGCGGCAGUGAGACUGUGGGGGAUAAGCUCCAUGGUCGAGAGGGAAACAGCCCAGAGCAUCGACUAAGGCCCCUAAGCGUACGCUAAGUGGGAAAGGAUGUGGAGUCGCAGAGACAACCAGGAGGUUGGCUUAGAAGCAGCCACCCUUGAAAGAGUGCGUAAUAGCUCACUGGUCUAGUGAUUCCGCGCCGACAAUGUAGCGGGGCUCAAGCGUACCGCCGAAGUCGUGUCAUUGCGAUAUAUACCCCCAACGGGGAUCGUGAUGGGUAGGGGAGCGUCGUGUGCCGGGUGAAGCAGCCGCGGAAGCGAGUUGUGGACGGUUCACGAGUGAGAAUGCAGGCAUGAGUAGCGAUACAAACGUGAGAAACGUUUGCGCCGAUUGACCAAGGGUUCCUGGGUCAAGCUGAUCUGCCCAGGGUAAGUCGGGACCUAAGGCGAGGCCGACAGGCGUAGUCGAUGGAUAACCGGUUGAUAUUCCGGUACCCGCUGUGAAGCGUCAAACAUUGAACCAGGCGAUGCUAAGUCCGUGAAGCCGUCCCGGAUCCUUCGGGUGAAGGGGAGUGGUGGAGCCGACGGACCAGACUUGCAGUAGGUGAGUGAUGGGGUGACGCAGGAAGGUAGUCCAUCCCGGGCGGUGGUUGUCCCGGGGUAAGGGUGUAGG